rnacentral:rRNA from 1 species
AUGGCCGCCGGCGCCAGGGUGCCUGACCUCGGCUCCGACUUCGCCCAGAAGAUGCUGCACGACCUCCGCCGACGCCGCGAGAGGCUCGGCUUCUCGGGCUCGCCGUCGGCCGCCGCCGCUGCGUCUCGGGACGCUGGCUCGAAUUCGCAGAACCCAGUUCGAGGCCAGAAGCCACGGCAAGCAGCAGCAGCACCACCAUCGGCGACACACAGAUCACAGCAGCAGCAACAACCCAGCACCAGCAAUGCCGUGGCCAGCGCGGCCAAGCCACGGCGGGGGCGCCCUAUCGCCGCCGCCGCCGCCGACGCGCGCGCCAUCGUGCCGUUCCAGGUAGGAGGCGCGGGCGGCGGCAAGACGGAGCAUGCCGUCGUCGCGAGCGGCGUCGACGUGCAGAUGGCCGCGCUGGCCCUCGCGCUCAGCGACGGGGGGAAGCUGCGGAACAUGGAGGUCGUGGCGCGCAACGGCUCCGUCUUCUUCCGCCAGCUGGACACGGCCCGUCUGGGCGGUGGCGGCGGCUACCUCCUGCCGCCGCCGCCGCCUUCCGGAGGAGGUACAGGCGCGCGCGCCGGCGAGGUGGCGAUCGGGGUGCAGGACCUGAACGACAUGCUCAUGGCGGCCUACUCCUCGGGCGGGAGGAGGAGGCCCGACGACGAGGCCCGGAAGAAGCUCUUCAGAGGGUCCAUGGACAUGGAGGAGGCGCUGAGCAUGCUGGUCAUGCUCCAGGACGCCUCCCGGUACAUGGAAGGGUCGGGGAGCGGGCUCAAGGGCAAGGAGAACCGCAAGGGCUCGCCGGCGACGCGUUCCGCGAGGAUCGAGGAGAUCGUCGACGAAGAUUCAGAUGCUGAGCACGCCAAAAAUGCUUCUAUGCAGAUGGUUGUUCACAACAAGUUUCAGAGUCAUCAGACUGAUCAGAGUACAGGCAGAAGCUCAGUCAUGGAGUCUGGUCCAAGCAUUUCCAACAUCAAGAGUGCUUCUGAAGGUGAAAAGGAUGGCUCAAAGGUGAGGAUGCCGAGCGUGAUCGCCAAGCUGAUGGGGCUGGAGAAUCUGCCGUCGUCGACAACGACGGCCGCCGCGGAGCGCAAGGGGACGGAGAGGUUUGUGAAACCUGGAGCCGCGGUGCCAAGGAUGGAGGUCAGAGGAAACGCCAUGGACCGCAAAUUGCCGAUACGGAUCAUCGCUUCAGAGAAGGGUCAGCACAAGAUUGUGUUGGCAGGGGAGUGGAAGAACGGCCUGACAAACUUUGGAGAGUCUGAAAUAGGUGCUGCUGCACUGUCAAACAGUUCAUCACACCCUGCACCUGGUAAUAAUAGCAGGCAAGGAAGGCUAACCAUGAGAGAAGUGCUGAGAAAGAUGGUGGCAGCAGAGAGAGGAGCCGAUGAAAAACAGGUAGCUGAUGAGAGGAUCAUCCAUGAGGACAAGACGGCUGCCGAAGAAAUCAAACUGCAGAACUCUGUCAGCGUAGGAUGCCGCGCCGACUCCGGUAAGAGGAUGGAUUUUCUGAAAAGAUUCAGGAAGAAUUCAGACAACAGGCCUGUCAAGGAGGAGAAGCACACUGCUCAGGUGAAGAGUGCAGAAGUUGGGAAGAAGCAGGCCACCGGCAUGAGACGGUUGCUGGGGAGAGACGGCGAGGGGAAAUCGAGGAGGGCGAGGGAGAAGGUUAACAAGGAGAACCUUGCCAGUGCAGAAACCAAGGCUGCAGGAAAGAAUGGGAAGACAGAUCAGGUCAAACAUCAAGCACAAAGUAAGCAUGUAGACAGACAAAGCAAGCUGAGGAAACCGCAGAAUCGUCGGGAAAUGCAGAGCGAAACGCCGAGCCGGAAGUUGGAAAACAAGAAGUCACUGAUGCCAGAAGCAGGGCACAUGAAAAAGAAGCCUGAGUAUACUGUAGUGACACAACAGGAGAAUGAAGAACGUGCAAAAGAACAUGUCAGUUUUAGCAAACCAGCAGAUAGCACACAUGGCGAAGGCGGUUUGUCGGAACCAUUGGCAAUAGUAGUGAGAGGCAACAGCACAACCGGAGCAGCUUCCUUGGACCAACCAUUACAGAAAAUAACUCAAGGAUCUAGUGAGAAAGCAACUGAAACACCGAGGGAACCGCAGAAUCGUCGGGAAACGCAUAGCAAAGCACCAAACUGGAAGUUGGAAAACAAGAAGGCACUGUUGUCAGAAGCAGGGCAUAUGAGAAAGAAGCUCGAGUGCACUGUAGUGGCACAACAGGAGAAUGAGGUAGAUGCAAAAAUAAAUGAUACUAUCAGUUCUAACAAACCAGCAGAUAGCACACAUGUCGAAGGCGGUUUGUCGAAACCAUUGACAAUGGUAGUGAGAGACAGCACCACAGCUGAAGCAAUUCCUCUGGACCAACCUUUGCAGAAAAUAACUGAAGGAAUCAGUGAUCCUACAAUUCCUGCAGAGACUGUUGUACAUGCAAGUGAGGAUUUGAAGUUCUUGGAUCAGAGCGCAAUUGCUGAGAUAAAUGAUGAAAGGAUGAACCACACACCUAGUGAGACUACACAGAUACCUGAAAUAUUUACCGAGGAAGAACGGCAGCAGGAAGAAGAACAACAACAGCAACAAAUGAUAGUGAAAGAGCAACUAACUGAGGAUUUGAAGUUCUUGGAUCAGAGUAUGAUUCCUGAGACAAAUGAUGAAUGGAUCAACCACACACCUAGUGAGGCCACACAAAUACCUGAAACAUUUGCCGAGGAAGAACAGCAGCAGCAACAACAACAACAGGAACAACAAACGGUAGUGAUACCGGAAGCAUUUACCAAGGAGGAAGAAGAGCAGCAACAAAUGAUAGUGAAAGAGCAACUAACUGACGGCUCGGAUGAUCAUACCACAACGUCCGUCAGUUCUGAAAAUUUGCAGGAGACACAUGUUGUUACAUGCGAUUCUUUGACAGAGAACCAGCUCAUGCUCAUGAGACUGCUGGUAAAGGAUCGGUACUUGCUCGAAACCGCAAAGGCGAUCGUCAGAGUAGAUGCCCCCGUCAGUUUCAUGGACGACGUCGCCGGUGCGCCGAGCUGGUCGGACAAGGGCAACGAUCUCCUCUCCGACGUGGCCCGGGAAGUGAUCAGAAGGAAAGGCAAACGGAGCGAGGCGAUGGAGGAGGUCAGCGUGGCGCGCACCGCCAACCUGAGGCUGCGAUACCUCGAUGAUCUCGUCAGAGAGCUGGACGGCGACGUCGAGAGCCUGGACAUGUCCAAGUCCAAGAGAACUCAGCAGCAGGGCGACAACCGCGCGGCCGAGAAUCUGCGCAGGAUACUUGAGAGUGACAUCCAGAAUGACCACCCCGACGCCAACUCGACGUGGGAUUUCGGGUGGAACCGCGUGUGGGAGCUGCCGUUGGAGAAGGGCGACGUCGUGAGGGAUCUGGAGAAGAACAUACUGGGCGGCAUCAUCACCGACGUGGCGAGGGAUCUCAUCGGAGUAUCGGUGCGACAUGGCUGUUGUCCCUGCGUGGCUUGA